rnacentral:rRNA from 1 species
AGAGAUGUGUGAUGACGCAUAUCAAUAAGCGGAGGAAAAGAAACUAACAAGGAUUCCCUUAGUAACGGCGAGUGAAGCGGGAAGAGCUCAAAUUUGAAAUCUUCAAGGUUCUACCUUGACGAAUUGUAGUUUAAAGAAGUGUUUUCUGUUAGUGGAGUGGUAAAAGUUCUUUGGAAUAGGACAUCAUAGAGGGUGAGAAUCCCGUAUUUGACCAUUACUUUCCAGCUGUGUGAUACACUUUCAAAGAGUCGGAUUGUUUGGGAAUGCAGUCCAAAAUGGGUGGUAAAUUUCAUCUAAAGCUAAAUAUUGGCGAGAGACCGAUAGCGAACAAGUACCGUGAGGGAAAGAUGAAAAGAACUUUGAAAAGAGAGUUAAACAGUACGUGAAAUUGUCAAAAGGGAAGCGUUUGACACCAGUGUUGUUUUCUCGAAAAUCAAUUAAAAAUGGCUUGGUUUUGUGUUGUAUUGACUUUAUCGGCUUUCUGCACUUUUUUCAUGUCUUUUUUUAUGCACUUUUCGUUUAACAAGUCAACAUCUAUUUCUUUUGUUGUAAAAGGGUAUGAGGAAGGUGGCUUUCUUUCGGAGAAAGUGUUUAUAGCCUUGUACCUCUGCAAUCGGAGAGAUUGAGGUCUGCAGCGUAGAUCCUUCGGGGUUAGAUACAUUUGUGCUAAGUUAUAGCUUUUCAUAGACAACUUGUUGACUAUGUUAGUCUUGUAGCUUACUCGCUUAUGCUAUUUUACCUACGCUUAGGAUGUUGACAGCAGUAUAGACUGU